CUGGCCCGUCUUGAAACACGGACCAAGGAGUCUAACAUUUGUGCGAGUACAGGGGCGUCAAACCCCGGUGCGCAAUGAAAGUGACAGUGGCUGGAAUGUCUUAUUUGCACAGUCCGCCGGCCCCAAUCCCUCGGGAGAAUGGUCUGAGUGUGAGCAUCAAUGUUGGGACCCGAAAGAUGGUGAACUAUGCUUGGGAAAGGCGAAGCCAGGGGAAACUCUGGUGGAGGCUCGUAGCGAUUCUGACGUGCAAAUCGAUCGU
rnacentral:rRNA from 1 species